rnacentral:rRNA from 1 species
UACGUAGGGUGCGAGCGUUAAUCGGAAUUACUGGGCGUAAAGCGUGCGCAGGCGGUUCGUUGUGUCCGUCGUGAAAGCCCCGGGCUUAACCUGGGAACUGCGAUGGAAACUAGCGAGCUGGAGUGUGGCAGAGGGGGGUGGAAUUCCGCGUGUAGCGGUGGAAUGCGCAGAUAUCAGGAAGAACACCAACGGCGAAGGCAGCUCGCUGGGACGGAACUGACGCUAAGGCGCGAAAGCGUGGGGAGCGAACAGG